UACAGAGGGGGCAAGCGUUAUUCGGAAUUAUUGGGCGUAAAGGGCGCGUAGGCGGCUUGGCAAGUGGAAGGUGAAAUCCCUCGGCUCAACUGAGGAACUGCCUUCCAGACUGCUUUGCUUGAGUCCGGGAGAGGUGAGUGGAAUUCCCAGUGUAGAGGUGGAAUUCGUAGAUAUUAGGAAGAACACCAGUGGCGAAGGCGGCUCACUGGUCCGGUACUGACGCUGAGGUGCGAAAGCGUGGGGAGCAAACAGG
rnacentral:rRNA from 1 species